CCGGGUGGGUGGGUGGGGAGGAGGUUGGGGACAACCUGGGGACAACCUGGGGACAACCUGGGGACAACCUGGAGGUCUCCAAGGGGCCACCUUGGGGGUCUCCAGGUGGUUUUGGGGGCUUUUUUUGGGGUCUCCAGGUGGUUUUUUGGGUUCUUUUGGAUCUCCUGGUGGUUUUUGGAGGUUCCUCGAGGAACCUCCUCCACAGGGAUCUCCAGGUGGGGUUUUUUGGACCUCCAGGUGGUUUUGUGGGUUCUCCAGGUGGUUCUUUGGUAUCUCCAGGUGGUUUUCUGAAGGUUCCUCGAGGAACCUCCUCCACAGGGAUCUCCAGGUGGGGUUUUUUGGAUCUCCAGGUGGUUUUGUGGGAUCUCCAGGUGGUUUUUUUGGUAUCUCCAGGUGGUUUUUUGAAGGUUCCUCAAGGAACCUCCUCCACAGGGACCUCCAGGUGGGUUUUUUUGUAUCUCCAGAUACUUUUCUGAAGGUUCCUCAGGAAACCUCCUCCACAAGGACCUCCAGGUGAGUUUUUUUGGAUCUCCAGAUGUUUUUUUGGUAUCUCCAGGUGUUUUUUUGGGCUCUCCACGUGGUUCCUGAAGGUUCCUCAAGGAACCUUCUCCACGGGGUCAUCUCAGGUUGAUUUUUUGGUAUCUCCAGGUGGUUUUCUGGAGGUUCCUCAAGGAACCUCCUCCACAGGGAUCUCCAGCUGGGUUUUUUUGAACCUCCAGAUGUUUUUUUGAUAUCUCCACCUCCUUCCCAGAAGAUCCCUCAAAAAAACCACCUCCACAAGGACCUCCAGGUGGGUUUUUGGUAUCUCCAGGUGGUUUUUUGAUAUCUCCAGGUGGUUUUUUGGGUUCUUUGGGAUCUCCACAUGGUUCUUUUCGGGUUUUUUGGUAUCUCCAUGUGGUUUUUUGGGCUCUCCACGUGGUUCCUGAAGGUUCCUCAAGGAACCUCCUCCACGAGGAGACCUCAAAAUGAUUCUUUUGGUAUCUCCAGGUGGUUUUUUGGGCUCUCCACCUGGUUCCUGAAGGUUCCUCAAGGAACCUCCUCCACACGAAGAUCUCAAAGAGCUUUUUUGGUAUCUCCAGAUGUUUUUUUGGAUUCUUUGGGUGGUUUUGUGGGUUCUCCAGGUGGUUCUUUGAAGGUUCCUCAAGGAACCUUCUCCACAGGGACCUCCAGGUGGGGUUUUUUUGUAUCUCCAGGUGGUUUUUUGGAUUCUUUGUGAUCUCCACCUGGUUCCUGAAGGUUCCUCAAGGAACCUCCUCCACGAGGAGACCUCAAAAUGAUUCUUUUGGGCU